AAAAGGCCUCCCAGCUGCUGGGCAAUGCCAGGGGUUAGUGGCUCAUACCCUGACCCUCACUGGAUGGGACCUGCCUGGCCCAAGGAAAUGAAGAGCUGUUGCCAGGACCGCCCAGCCAAGAAAAUAUGAACAACAUGCCUUGCUCUGCCGCCGAACUCCCAACUCUCAGUGCCUCCAGGGAGGGCAGGGAGACGGCCACGGCCCGGGCCCUCCCAGGCAUGUUCUCGGCCGGCUUCCCCCAGCGUGUGGAAAGUCCCUGGCUGUGGUCGCACCCACGUAAAAUGUCCUGGCUCCCAUGUCCAUAAAUUGACUCCAUCCAAGGGGUGGAUAGGCAGGGAGUAGUGAUCUGGAGAGGGCGCGGGGCUCCAGAUCAGCCUUGCACCCCAUUGGCUGUGUGACUCUGGGCCUCCAGGUCAAGGUGAAGACUGAUGAAAGCCUUAGACUGCAAAGGCUGAUGUUUUCCUUGCAGAUCCAGAUGCCAACUUGGGUCAUCAUCUCUCGCUACACUCUUGGCAUGAGUCCUUUUCAAAGGCCUAACAUUGACUGCCCCUACUUUUGGGGGCCAGGUGGACUGUCCUGAAAUUUAAGUAAUAGGUGCCCUUGAUGGGGCCUGGCACUUCUUCAUCAGCCCCAGUUUUAACUUCAAGAAUGACUGGAUCGAAUGAAUUGGCAAACAUGUACUGAGUAACUACUAACUACAAAUAUAGAUGCUAGAGGCAGGGGGCUAGCAAAGACUAUGAAACAGCUCCUACUGUGAGUAAGGGCAGAGGAGACUGUGGGGCUCGAGUUUUCUCUUGCCUUUACUGUAUCCUGAUUAUUGUCAAUUCCCAGGUGGUAUCCCCUAGACUGGGGCUGUCUAGGUGGCCACAUUUUCUAGCUGGGUAGCUCAGCCAGGACAAGAUUUCCUCAGAGAGGGGUUGCCAAGUCAAGAAAUUUACUUCUGCAAAUGAUAACAGCCAGUUAGUACAGAUGGUAUGAAAACUUCUGGGAGCAAGCCCCACAGUCUGGGAAGAAUAUCCUUUGUGAUAAAGUGACACAGCAUCAGAAAAAGCUAAUGAGAGAUGUGUUAGAUGUUCAUUGCUGUGUAAUUACU